UCACGGUCCACAUUUUCACCCAUGUUUGAAAAUUUAAUUUCGAAUAUCAUAUUCAAAUUCAAUUUUUAAUUUUUAAACCCCCAACCAACUAGAAAAUAUCUGUUAUCCUAAUAACCCUAUUCGAAAUUCGAUUUCGAAUUUCGAACCAACACCCAAAAUAUCUCUCAUUCGAAUUUUGAAUACCUAACCAUCCAACAACCCAUUCAAAAUUCGAUCUCGAAUUUCGAAUUCCCAAUAAAUUUCCAAAAUACCCUCCAACCGUCCAACAACUCAUUCAAAAUUCGAUUUCGAAUUCGAAUUCCCAACCAACUCCCAAAAUAUCUUCCAACCACCCCACAACCUAUUCAAAAUUCGAUUUCGAGUUUCGAAUCCCUAACCAAUUCCCAAAAUACUUCCAACCAUCCAACAACCCAUUCAAAAUUCGAUUUUGAAUUUCGAAUUUCCAACCAACUCCCAAAAUAUUUUCCACAAUCCAUUCAAAAUUCGAUUUCGAAUUUCGAAUCAAUUCCCAAAAUAUCCUCCAACCAUCCAAAAACCCAUUCAAAAUUCGAUUUCGAAUUUCGAAUUUCCAAGUAACUUCCAAAAUAUCUUCCACAACCCAUUCAAAAUUCGAUUUCGAAUUUCGAAUCAAUCCUCAAAAUAUCCUCCAACCAUCCAACAACCCAUUCAAAAUUCGAUUUCGAAUUUUGAAUUUCCAACCAAUCCUAAAUAUCUUUCAACCAACCACAACAACCUAUUAAAAAUUCAAUUUCGACUUUCAAAUCCCUCAAAAUAUCUCUCACCACCCCUCCCAUUAUAAAUAUAAGAAUCGAGAUUAAUACGGGGGACAAGACGAUAGACGAAGAAGAGAAAAAAAAAAAGA
rnacentral:lncRNA from 1 species